rnacentral:rRNA from 1 species
UUGGCUGGGGCGGCACAUCUGUCAAACGAUAACGCAGGUGUCCUAAGGUGAGCUCAAUGAGAACAGAAAUCUCAUGUAGAACAAAAGGGUAAAAGCUCACUUGAUUUUGAUUUUCAGUAUGAAUACAAACUGUGAAAGCAUGGCCUAUCGAUCCUUUAGUCUUUAGGAGUUUUAAGCUAGAG